AGAAUCAACGCUGGCGGCGUGCCUAACACAUGCAAGUCGAACGAGAAAGUGGUAGCAAUACCAUGAGUACAGUGGCGCACGGGUGAGUAACACGUGACUAACCUACCCUGGAGUGGGGGAUAACUGAGGGAAACCUUAGCUAAUACCGCAUAAUACCUACGGGUCAAAGGAGCAAUUCGCUUCAGGAGGGGGUCGCGGCCGAUUAGUUAGUUGGCGGGGUAAUGGCCCACCAAGACAGUGAUCGGUA
rnacentral:rRNA from 1 species